CCCUUAGAUGUCCUGGGCCGCACGCGCGCUACACUGAGUGUCUGAGAUACGAGUCUGCCUGGCCCGGCAAGGUCUAGGUAAUCGCUAAAAGACACAUCAUGCUUGGGAUAGAUUAUUGCAAAUAUUAAUCUUGAACGAGGAAUUCCUAGUAAGCGCAAGUCAACAGCUUGCGUUGAUUACGUCCCUGCCCUUUGUACACACCGCCCGUCGCUACUACUGAUUGGAUGUUUAAGCGAGGUUCUCGAACUGCUAGCGACUUAGCUUCGGUGAGGUCGCAGUGUGGGGAGUGAACCUAGCUUUGGUGUCUAGAGGAAGUAAAAGUCGUAACA
rnacentral:rRNA from 1 species